GAUCCUGGCUCAGGACGAACGCUGGCGGCGCGCCUAACACAUGCAAGUCGAACGGAGAUACCAGAGGGGCUUGCUCCACCGGUAUCUUAGUGGCGGACGGGUGAGUAACACGUGAGCAACCUGCCUUUCAGAGAGGGAUAACGUUUGGAAACGAACGCUAAUACCACAUAACAUCACGAUACGGCAUCGUAUUGUGAUCAAAGGAGCAAUCCGCUGAGAGAUGGGCUCGCGUCCGA
rnacentral:rRNA from 1 species